GAUGAAGAACGCAGCGAAAUGCGAUAAGUAAUGUGAAUUGCAGAAUUCAGUGAAUCAUCGAAUCUUUGAACGCACAUUGCGCCCGCUAGUAUUCUGGCGGGCAUGCCUGUCCGAGCGUCAUUUCAACCCUCAAGCCCCCGGGCUUGGUGUUGGGGAUCGGCGAGCCUCCGCACCCGCCGUCCCCUAAAUCUAGUGGCGGUCUCGCUGUAGCUUCCUCUGCGUAGUAGCACACCUCGCACUGGGAAACAGCGCGGCCACGCCGUUAAACCCCCAACUUCUGAACGUUUGACCUCGGAUCAGGUAGGAAUACCCGCUGAACUUAAGCAUAUCAAUAAGCGGAGGA
rnacentral:misc_RNA from 1 species